UACGUAGGGUGCGAGCGUUAAUCGGAAUUACUGGGCGUAAAGCGUGCGCAGGCGGUUUUGUAAGCCAGAUGUGAAAUCCCCGGGCUUAACCUGGGAAUGGCAUUUGGGACUGCAAGGCUUGAGUUUGGCAGAGGAGACUGGAAUUCCUGGUGUAGCAGUGAAAUGCGUAGAUAUCAGGAGGAAUACCGAUGGCGAAGGCAGGUCUCUGGGCUAGAACUGACACUCAUGCACGAAAGCGUGGGGAGCAAACAGG
rnacentral:rRNA from 1 species